rnacentral:rRNA from 1 species
UUCGUAGGCGGUCUGUUAAGUCAGAGGUGAAAUCUAACGGCUCAACCGUUAGCCUGCCUUUGAAACUGGCAGACUUGAGUAUAGGAGAGGAAAGCGGAAUUCUUGGUGUAGCGGUGAAAUGCGUGGAUAUCAAGAGGAACACCCGUGGCGAAGGCGGCUUUCUGGCCAAAUACUGACGCUGAGGAACGAAAGCUAGGGGAGCAAACAGGAUUAGAUACCCUGGUAGUCC